rnacentral:snRNA from 1 species
UUGCUCUCUUCGAUAGCACACAUGCUAAAAUUAGAAUGAUACAGAGACAAUUAGUAUGGUCUCUCUGCAAGGAUGGCAAGCAAAUUCAUGAAGCAUUCCAUAUCUUU